UAACGCCCAGCACUCUUUCUUCCAUAUGUUAUCCGCUCUCUCCCCUGCUCCUCUCCCUCUCUCUUUCUCUAAAAAUUAAUUCGACGUUUAGCCUCCUCGCUUUAGGUGCCUCCGUUUCUCAAUGACAACGCUCUUUCUAUAUUCCUCCUUAAUCGCUCUCUCCUCGGCCCCUCUUUCCCAUCUCUCUCUAAAUUAUUUCGACGAUCGAUCUCCUCACUUUAAUUUCUUUCGUUUUCAACCGUUGACAAUGUAUACGUCCUUCCCUUAGAAGAUUCUUCCGUUACUAUAAUUGGUAAUAACUGCUAGGGCUUUCUGAUCCCCAUCCCCAUCACCAAUCCCCAAAGACUAAAAUUUAGGUUAUUUUGUGAUUCUAUAAAUACAUACUGCUUCAACUUUGAUGGAGCAAAGAAGGUGUUUAUUUCCAAUUGGGUCCGAGAUUGAUAGGAGGAGUAGAAAGCUAUCAAGUGUCUCAGAAUAUCCAUUCUCGACCAAAUGCCUUUGAUAUGUCCAACCAAAUCCCUUUGAUUGGAGAUGUUAUUUCUGUCCAGCCCCCUGCAAUUUGGUUGAAUGUUCAGGUAUCUUAACGCAUAAUAGAAUGCCAAGAUUUGAACAUAACCAGAUUAAUUUAUAAAUUGCAUUAUGUUCGUUUACAUAGCCUGAUUUGGAACUAUGGGACAACAUGUUAUAGUUGCACAUCAUCAAAUAUCCUUGAUAUAAGUAUUCACAUAGGUUAAGUGCUUCUUAGAAAGAAAAACUAAACACCAUCAUAAUGAAGAACUACCUUAAGUUUGAACAUAGUCUGCUGCAAUAAUGUCAACUUGAACUAUUUAGGAUAUAUUAGAUGUUGAUCAUGAGAAUUAUCAAUGAACAUCAGUUCAGAUACUUUGUUAAUUGUUUCCAUAAUUAGCUAGCCCUCUGGACACAUGACAUUGUUUCGAUAAGUGAUGGUUAUGAUAUAUUCUUGUGUUAAAGCUUAAAAUGGAAUAUUCUUUGCAUUUAAGAUAUUUUCCUUUUUUUUAAUAUUCUGGUAGUGUGUAUAAUUGUAACAUAGGUAUGCUUGUGUACUGAGUACUUAUGAUUAUUCAGAUUGAUAUGACUCACUACAUAGUAGAUAUUUUUGUUUUGGAAGCAUGUUGGUUAACUUGUUUUAUUUUGCUAAUAUCAGCUUGGGAAUAAUCUGAACAGGCGCUUUGCAUUUUGGGGAGAAUCGAUUUUGAUGCUCCCUUUUGCUAUUCUAGGCUUAAUCAUGAAGCCUUUAGAGCUAAAAGAUAUGGCAAUCUAAGCAGGGAAUAUAGAUACCUCUUCUGGAUAGAAAUUUUGAACAUUACCAGUUGAAGUGAAUGGAACAAGUUCUUUGUGGACAAAGAUGGAAAAGUCAUGGAAAGAUAUGCUCCGACAACAUCACCUUUGAAAAUGGAGGAAUUUAAGUGCCUUCUUUGAGGGACUGUAUUGCUCGUGAUGCGAGUAUGUGAUCUUAUGUACGCAUAAAGGGAUGCUUCUUCUAGAAAACUUGUAUAUUGCUGGAAAUUCAUUAGCUUUUUGUUGUAUGUGAGAAAUAUUGUUUAUUUUAAUUAUUGGCUUUCAACAAUAAAGCUAUGUUUGCAAGCUAUCUGUUAACUCUUUUUUAC